rnacentral:SRP_RNA from 1 species
GCUGGGUGUGGUGGCGCUCACCUGUGGUCUCAGCUACUCUCGAGGCUGAGGCGGGAGGACCGCUUGAGCCUGUGAGUUCUGGGCUGUAGUAAGCUUUGCUGAUCCAGGGUUCACAUCAAUGUAGUGACCUCCCUGGACUGGCAGGACCAGCAGGUUGCCUAAGGAGGGAUGAACCCAUCCACAUCAGAAACAAAGCAGGGCAAAACUCCUAAGCUGAUCUCAUCUGGGAUCACACCUGUGAAUAGCCACUGCACCCAGCUGGGCAACACAGGGAGACCCUGUGGCU